CUUGUGACGUUGAAGUGGUACAGUAGGAUGAUGGUCCCUUUUGUCAGAGACCUGGUGGGAGCUGUAAACCAGGAAAAACCAUUUAUCUGAAUUACAACUAUGGAGUUGCGGCGGGUCAUUCCGUUAUCGAUGACAGAGCGACUGGAGAACUAUCUCCAGUAACCUGGGUGGUAACGCGGAAAAUUUCGUCCCUAGU
rnacentral:ncRNA from 1 species